UACAGAGGGUGCGAGCGUUAUUCGGAUUCACUGGGCGUAAAGGGUGCGCAGGUGGCCAAGUGUGUUAGGCGUGAAAGCCCGGGGCUUAACCCCGGAAUUGCACCUAAAACUACCUGGCUAGAGCAUUGGAGAGGGGAGCAGAAUUCACGGUGUAGCAGUGAAAUGCGUAGAUAUCGUGAGGAAUACCAGAGGCGAAGGCGGCUCCCUGGACAAUUGCUGACACUCAGGCACGAAAGCGUGGGGAGCAAAAGGG
rnacentral:rRNA from 1 species